GGUAAAAUGGCUGAAUUAUAGGCGAUAGAUUGUAAAUCUAUUUAUAAGGGCAUCCUUUUUUACUA
rnacentral:tRNA from 1 species